rnacentral:piRNA from 1 species
UCCACAGCCGCGACGUGAUUGAGAAAUGGU